rnacentral:rRNA from 1 species
CUGAAAAAUGGACUGCUCAGUAAUACUCACUUUAUUUUAUGUGCACCGCAGAUAACUACGUUAAAGUGUAGAUAACAUGUGUACAGUAAGAGUGAGACCUAUCAGCUAGUUGUUAGGGUAAUGGCUUAACAAGGCAGUGACGGGUAACGGUAUUACUUUGUAAUAUUCCGGAGAAGGAGCCUGAGAGACGGCUACUAAGUCUAAGGAUUGCAGCAGGGGCGAAACUUGACCUAUGGAUUUUAUCUGAGGCAGUUAUGGGAAGUAAUAUA